GGCAGCCGCGGUAAUUCCAGCUCCAAUAGCGUAUAUUAAAGUUGUUGCAGUUAAAAAGCUCGUAGUUGAAUUUCGGGAUCAAUAUGUUGGUCGUGCCUUGGUACGUACUAAUUUAUUGGUUUCUUCCUUCUGACGAACCAUGAUGUCAUUAAUUUGGUGUCUUGGGGAAUCAGGACUGUUACUUUGAAAAAAUUAGAGUGUUUAAAGCAGGCUCACGCUUGAAUACAUUAGCAUGGAAUAAUGAAAUAGGAUGUUUGAUUCUAUUUUGUUGGUUUCUAGGAUCGACGUAAUGAUUAAUAGGGAUAGUUGGGGGCAUUAGUAUUCAAUUGUCAGAGGUGAAAUUCUUGGAUUUAUUGAAGACUAACUACUGCGAAAGCAUUUGCCAAGGAUGUUUUCAUUAAUCAAGAACGAAAGUUAGGAGAUCGAAGACGAUCAGAUACCGUCGUAGUCUUAACCAUAAACUAUGCCGACUAGGGAUCGGAUGAUGUUAAUUUUUUAAUGACUCA
rnacentral:rRNA from 1 species